CUAAUGUGUCAAAACUGAAAAUAUCUAACUGUCUUUCUAUGAAAUUUCUGAAGAAUUUUGAAACUAGUUUAGGAGAAAUUACUUUGCGUAUCGAAUAUAGGUAAUCAUGUAUAAUUCUAAAAUUUAUAAGAUAAGGAGAUCUACAGAGGAACGCUAGCUAUAUGCUUAACACAUGCAAGUCGAACGUUCAUGAAAAAGCUGUCGUAAAGUUUCCUUCUUCGUUCCUAUUUCUUGCUUUUUUUUUCUCCGUUUUGUAGCAGGUUGUUUCGGACGUUUUCUAGGAAAAGAAGGAACCGCUAUAAUAACCACUACGUGCGUUUCAUUCUCUUCGAUAUUCUCUUUGAUUGGUUUUUAUGAAGUCGCACCGGGAGCUAGUGCUUGCUAUCUAAGUAUUGAUCCAUGGAUCUCAUCAGAAAUGUUUGAUGCUUCUUGGGGCUUCUUUGGCGACCGUGAAGUCACCGGAUGAAUUGCCGAGUAAAUAGAUCAGAUCCGGACGCAGUUGCUCCACGGCGAUACGGACUCGACCCGAUAGACUUAGACUUCUACAAAGAGUGCAAGGUUAUGCUAUUCAUAUCCUACAACACACAGUUAGUAUUCUACUAGGAACAGUCUUUAGAUAUACUACAAUAUCAUUGGGAACCAAAGGCGGAGUUAGCCCUCUUUAGGGGUUCGUCCGAACCUCUUUCGACGGAAAAAUAUACUAUUUUUAAUGUGGUUAUAGUAGGUAUUGAACCCCCUUCGAUUUAGUUUUCUUUGAAUAUUAAAUCCCCUACUUGAAAUCCUGGCUCCGCCUCUGUUGGGAACAUAGAUGAUCCAUGUACGUUUAGCUGCUAUGGAUGCUAAUGCUCUAUAUUCAGCUUCA